rnacentral:rRNA from 1 species
UACGGAGGGUGCAAACGUUUGCUCGGAAUCAUUGGGCGUAAAGCGCACGUAGGCGGCGCGUUAAGUCGGGUGUGAAAGCCCUGGGCUCAACCCAGGAAGUGCAUUCGAAACUGGCGCGCUUGAAUAUGGAAGAGGGUCGCGGAAUUCCCGGUGUAGAGGUGAAAUUCGUAGAUAUUCGCAAGAACACCGUGGCGAGGACGG